UGGGACGAUUGGGUCACUCCCCAUGAACUAUCCUUGCCUGGCCAAUAAGGGGAUAUCUACGUGCAAUUGUGUCUAAACACCGCGUCUACACACGACAUGCAACUACAAUCCAAGAGCAACCAAGAAUUGCAGUACUCUAAUGAGUCGCAAACCAAAGAGCAAUAAUAACAAUGACUUACUAGUAUUAGAUGUUGAACACCAGAAGAAUCUUAGAACAACUUAUAAUGAAAUUGCUCUGCAGGUAUAAGCCGAGGAAGGAGACACUAACAGAUCGGAGAGCUUCCUCCACAACUCUUCCCUCCACUCUAUCUCUCUCUAAUUCUAUAAGAUCUGACCCUAAUCUCUCUAGAAGACUACAAGGCUAGUCUACUCUUGAAUGCUUGGCUCGAAUCCUUGGUGGAAGAUAACGAAUUAGGGUUUCCAGGAUUGCAUCUUCCAAGGGGUAGGGCCCUCCUUAUAUAGGUCAAUGGGAUGAACCAUAGCCCUUGGAUCAAACUGACUUAAUGGACGAAGAUCCUUGCUCCUCAAAGGCGGUUAGAGCAGAAUCCAUGAGAUUGCACCUAAUUGGUGGAGAGGCCAGGGCGGCCGCCCCCUUUGGGCGCCCUGGGCCCACCUCCUCUCAUGUUCUGCUUUGUUCUGGUGGAUUCCUGAAUCUUCUAGAUCCUUCUUUUGUAUACGUGGCAUAAAUAUCUCGUUUCUCUCUAUGUAAUCAUGACGUGGGCCUCCAAGGGUCAUUUCUUGAUCACCCCCUUGUAGAAAUAGAUAUUCACCAAAACUCAUGAAAUUAUGUUAGAUAAAACCCUAGAGCUAUGUUUGGUGAUUCUUAUUGCAUCUUUUGAAGUCUUGUUGUCUAAUAAAAUUAGGAGCUAUCUACCGCCAACAAGCUCCCCCACACUUAGGCUUUUACUCGUCUCGAGAAAAGGAUGGAUCAUCAAAGGCAUAAUCUUUCAGAUAAGACAUCAACACUAGAUAUUUCCAUAGUCAUACCUGCUCUGUGGGAUUCAAAGUAUCCAUAGCACUUUAGGCGGUUGGAGAGUGGAACAGGUUGAACUAGAGCCUUCCUUCAUCUUUAAGUCCUAUCGCUUUAGAGUUUUUGAUAAAUUUUGAAAACAAAACAUAGCUUACCUCCUCCUUCAUGUGGUGCACUCGAGUCACUCAUGAUAUGUAAUAUUUGUGGAUCCUCACUGAGGCAUGUAUGAUGAAUGCCUGGUAACAUCCGACUCUAAUAAAGCUUAUGUGGAGUUUAAGGUAAUUCAAGGAUGUAGCAUACUUACGUUGUAUAUGUUGCUCAAUCAAAGCUCAGAUCCGAGAAGGGGGAUGUCAUACUCUUAGAUCAACAUGUGCAUGUGUGAGGAGUUAUUUGGUGGCUAACCUAAUUCUACUUUGCUCAUUGAAUGAAUUCUCUCUUUCUCAAAACAAUGAAGAACUUUGCAAAGCGUAGAGACCAUGGACUAUCAACUCUUUUUGUAUUUUUCUUUUUCUUUUUUUAACAUUAGACACUUGUCCAUUUUUUCAAUACUUUUGCAUAGUCCAUGUCUCAUGCCUGCAUUUUUACAAACUUGAGAGAAAUAAAUGUAGAGCAAUUUAUUCAAUGUCCUAAAUUUCUUUUUGUCCUAUCCUAAGUAGAGUAGAAUAUUGGGUGUAAGGCAUGUUUUUGCGUACUCCCAGUGUAGGAGCAGCAGAUAUGUGUGGAGUGUUAGUGAUCUUGAUCUUGGGAGCAUGACAAACCUCUCAACAAGAGCCACAAGACUUGAUUAAACUCAAUACAAAAGCAAGUAGCUUAUAUGUAGGUUGUGAUUUUUAAUAAAGCUCUACUAGGCAUUUUCAAACCACAGAGGAGAAGCAUAGCUAUCAUUUUAACAUUUUUGAAAAGAAUUCUCCAAAUGACAUUACUUUAAGAAUCAGGCUUCUCAUUGUUCUACUUAUCUCACACUCUUCAACAACUUAAGUGUUAUAGGGUCCCUAAUUAAAAGUUCCCAACAGAUGCAAGAUUUCUAGGAUAAUCAUGGUGUGAGUCUAUCUUGGGAUUAUGACUAAGAUAAUGUACCUCUCACUUAUUUUUAAUUGGUUUUAUUAAAUGAUUUUUUAAUGUGAAUCAAAACUGAACAUGACAGAUGAAAAUAUGUACCAAAUAAGUUGCAAACCUGACCACGGACGAAGUUGGGUGAGUCUGGUAGCUGGGCCAAGAUGGGCGCCCCCUUUGGCCGCCCUACCUAGGCCACCUCCCGAGCUCCGCUUCAUCAUGCGUGAUCUCUGCGUCAUUUCCGGUCCGUAUCUUUGAUAAAGUGGUUGGUUUCAUUGCGGGACGUUCUACCACACUUGUUUUCUGUUAUCCUUUAUUCACAACAUGGUGGAGACAAAAAAAAAUAUCCAAGAAACAAUAAUAAUGAAACAAACUUUGUUUAUUCAAUGAGGUGCACUUUAUUAUAUUUUGAAAAACAACUAAUUUAAAAGGGAAAUCAACUAAUCAAAAUUGUGGGUGUGCACCCUACGAUCGCGGUUCCUAGCCCCUCCUAAGGAUGUCGAUAUGAGUCCCAUCCUCUUGCGUGUAGUGUCUAAUUCAUCUACCCUCGCAUUGGUGGUCAGAACGGUUCUUCCUAAGAUCUGAUGGUUCUUUUCUACCGAGUCUACCACAGUGUGGAGGUGAGCUAUCUCUGUCUCUAGGUCCGCUACAGUGCUACGACGACGAGGUGGACCUUCGCUGAGCAUCUUCUUUUUUGGGGCUUCCUCGGGAGGAAUGAACUUCACUUUUGAGGGAUGAGCACGAACGCCCUCGAAAGAUGGACGAGGCUUUUCUGUGGUGUACUUGGCGCAGACAAUCUCACCAAGGCAGUUUCUCUUUACACCCACCAGCGUCUCAUUGGGCUUCGGUGGGAGCAACUUGGUGUCCACUAGGAGCUUCACAAUGGGUCCCUUCGGUGGAGCACCUUCUAGAAAUAGAGGUUGAGGUGGAGCAGGGAGAGCAGCACAAGUGUAGAAGACAUGCUUCGUAGGAGGGAUGGAGGCUAGAGGCACGACGUCUAUCACCGGGACGAUGGCCUUCGAGUCAU
rnacentral:lncRNA from 1 species